GAUGAACGCUGGCGGCGUGCUUAACACAUGCAAGUCGAACGGGAAAUAUUUCAUUGAGACUUCGGUGGAUUUGAUUUAUUUCUAGUGGCGGACGGGUGAGUAACGCGUGGGUAACCUGCCUUAUACAGGGGGAUAACAGUCAGAAAUGGCUGCUAAUACCGCAUAAGCGCACAGAGCUGCAUGGCUCAGUGUGAAGAACUCCGGUGGUAUAAGAUGGACCCGCGUUGGAUUAGCUAGUUGGUGGGGUAACGGCCCACCAAGGCGACGAUCCAUAGCCGGCAUGAGAGGGGGAACGGCCACAUUGGGACUGAGACACGGACCAGACUCCUACGGGAGGCAGCAGUGGGGAAUAUUGCACAAUGGGGUAAACCGUGAUGCAGCGACGCCGCGUGAAGGAAGAAGUAUCUCGGUAUGUAAACUGCUAUCAGCAGGGAAGAUAGUGACGGUACCUGACUAAGAAGCCCCGGCUAACUACGUG
rnacentral:rRNA from 1 species